rnacentral:misc_RNA from 1 species
CCAGGUUAUUAUAAGCAAAAGAAAAAGAAGAAAAAUACACCAGCUUUAUUCAUGUGGUGCCAGCAAUCUAUAAUGUAGAAGUUCAAAAAAAAAAAAAUCAUCUAAUAUCUAUUCUUGGGUUAUCAACACCUUACCUUUCUGCAGUAAAGCUCAACUCCUUCAUAAAAAAAAGGGGGAAAAAAAAAAAAAAAAAUAGAGCUCCAUUUUAUGAUGACUAUGACUCGAAAUCUGAAUAAUUUGAGCUGAAAUUGCGAAUUAGGGGCAAGGGUACUUCAACCAAUCCUUCUAACAUUUGCAGAGCCAUCUUCAUUGAAGGCCUUUUCGAGGGAUCCUCUUGAAUACACCAGAUUGCUAUGCUUACCCAUCUGCUCACCCUAUGCUUAUCAGCCGCAGCUUCCUCAUCAAAUUCAACCACAUCAUCUGACCUUCCUUCCACAAAACAAUCAUAAACCCAGUCUGUUAGUAUCUCUUCAUGUUCGAGUUUCGAUACAUUCUUUCUGCAGCAGAUAAUCUCUAACAACAUAACACCAAAACUGUAAACGUCCACUUUAGCAGUAAUAUGUAACAGCUACAUUUCUGAACCAUUCAGGAGCUACAUAUCCUCUUGUUCCUCUGAUAUUGGUCAA